CUGUAUUUCAACCCCGGUUCUCCACACCAUCCUCGCUUGAUCGUCGUUGCUCCUUACCCGGUGCCACCUCUACGUCCAGGCUCUCAUGUUCACUCACCCUCGUCAUCCGUUCAGUCGGCUGGGCUCAUCCUCCGGUCCUCACCUCUCGGGCUUCCUCCACGGCGCCCUCCCGGCUCCUCGGUCCUCCGUGCUCCGUGCCCGCGUCCCCUGGCGUCCACCUCUCCUCCCUCACCUCUUCCCUAGCCCCCUC